UCUUGGUCCAAAUCUCUUGCAAAUAGGCCACACCGUAGUCAUAGAGCAAGAGGACUCAGAUACAGUUUGGUUGGUCCUUUACCUUCAAAAGUUCAAGUGCUGGCUGCCGAGACUUCUCCAACUCAGUGAUCAGGGUCCCAAGCUGGACCACCUCCUCAGAACCCUUGAUGACACGGCUGUUCCUCCUUUUGAGACACUUACUGAUGCAAAGG
rnacentral:lncRNA from 1 species